GACGUAGGGCGCGAGCGUUGUCCGGAUUUAUUGGGCGUAAAGAGCUCGUAGGCGGCUUGUUGCGUCGACUGUGAAAACCCGCGGCUUAACCGCGGGCUUGCAGUUGAUACGGGCAGGCUAGAGUUCGGUAGGGGAGACUGGAAUUCCUGGUGUAGCGGUGAAAUGCGUAGAGAUGCGGAGGAACACCAGUGGCGAAGGCGCUCUACUGGGCCGAGACUGACACUGAGAGACGAAAGCUAAGGGAGCGAAAAGG
rnacentral:rRNA from 1 species